rnacentral:lncRNA from 1 species
AAAACCACGGGCAAAGCCAGAUAAAUCUUCCACUAUAAAUCAAUAAUGGGUACACAAUAGUCUUCUAGUAAAUACUGGGAAUACCAAUAAUCAUCACCUAAGGUGGAAUCAAAUAACAACACAACCUUCCACACAAGUGGGUAAACUAACACAACCUAGAGAGAGAUUUAAACAACUAGUAAAACUAGCUAGAUGAUAGAAACCACUUACUAAAGUUGUAGCACAAACA